UGCAAGAAAAGCGUGGGUAUCGAAACAGGAUUAGAUACCCUGGUAGUCCACGCGGUAAACGAUGAUAACUAGUUAUCCGGCGCGAUUGGGUGCUGGGUGACCGAGCGAAAGCGUUAAGUUAUCCACCUGGGGAGUACGCCGGCAACGGUGAAACUCAAAGGAAUUGACGGGGGCCCGCACAAGCGGAGGAACAUGUGGUUUAAUUCGAUGAUACGCGAGGAACCUUACCCGGGCUCAAACGCAUGGCGCUACACCCUGAAAGGGGUGGUUCUUCGGACGUCAUGCGAGGUGCUGCAUGGUUGUCGUCAGCUCGUGCCGUGAGGUGUCGGCUUAAGUGCCAUAACGAGCGCAACCCCCAUCUUCAGUUGCCAUCGGGUUAUGCCGGGCACUCUGGAGAGACUGCCGGCGCAAGCUGUGAGGAAGGCGGGGAUGACGUCAAAUCAGCACGGCCCUUACGUCCGGGGCGACACACGUGUUACAAUGGCGGGGUCACAGAGGGAAGCCAGGCGGCGACGCCGAGCGGAUCCCGAAAACCCGUCUCAGUUCGGAUCGGAGUCUGCAACCCGACUCCGUGAAGCUGGAUUCGCUAGUAAUCGCGCAU
rnacentral:rRNA from 1 species